CGGCCAGGAAACGCCGCCGGCUGUACCAUACGACGUUUCCAAAUCGGGAAAUGUCAUACGAUACGGACGGCGGCGUUUCUUGGCCG
rnacentral:pre_miRNA from 1 species